UCUUGCGCAAUGGGUGAAACCCUGACGCAGCGACGCCGCGUGCGGGACGGAGGCCUUCGGGUCGUAAACCGCUUUCAGCAGGGAAGAGUCGAGACUGUACCUGCAGAAGAAGCCCCGGCUAACUACGUGCCAGCAGCCGCGGUAAUACGGAGGGGGCGAGCGUUAUCCGGAUUCAUUGGGCGUAAAGCGCGCGUAGGCGGCCCGGCAGGCCGGGGGUCGAAGCGGGGGGCUCAACCCCCCGAAGCCCCCGGAACCUCCGCGGCUUGGGUCCGGUAGGGGAGGGUGGAACACCCGGUGUAGCGGUGGAAUGCGCAGAUAUCGGGUGGAACACCGGUGGCGAAGGCGGCCCUCUGGGCCGAGACCGACGCUGAGGCGCGAAAGCUGGGGGAGCGAACAGG
rnacentral:rRNA from 1 species